UAGUGGCGAACGGGUGAGUAACACGUGGGCAAUCUGCCCUUCACUCUGGGACAAGCCCUGGAAACGGGGUCUAAUACCGGAUAACACUCUUCCCUGCAUGGGGGAGGGUUGAAAGCUCCGGCGGUGAAGGAUGAGCCCGCGGCCUAUCAGCUUGUUGGUGGGGUGAUGGCCUACCAAGGCGACGACGGGUAGCCGGCCUGAGAGGGCGACCGGCCACACUGGGACUGAGACACGGCCCAGACUCCUACGGGAGGCAGCAGUGGGGAAUAUUGCACAAUGGGCGGAAGCCUGAUGCAGCGACGCCGCGUGAGGGAUGACGGCCUUCGGGUUGUAAACCUCUUUCAGCAGGGAAGAAGCGUGAGUGACGGUACCUGCAGAAGAAGCGCCGGCUAACUACGUGCCAGCAGCCGCGGUAAUACGUAGGGCGCAAGCGUUGUCCGGAAUUAUUGGGCGUAAAGAGCUCGUAGGCGGCUUGUCGCGUCGGAUGUGAAAGCCCGGGGCUCAACCCCGGGUCUGCAUUCGAUACGGGCAGGCUGGAGUGUGGUAGGGGAGAUCGGAAUUCCU
rnacentral:rRNA from 1 species